rnacentral:hammerhead_ribozyme from 1 species
AUGUAGGUGACGAGUCCCAAAUAGGACGAAACGCGCAUCCUGGAU